rnacentral:misc_RNA from 1 species
UUAAGUUCAGCGGGUAGUCCUACUCGAUUUGAGGUCAAGUUGUCAGAGAUUGUCCGAAGACGGUUGGAAAGCACAGAGCUCCCAAUCGGCCACCCUCUUAUGAGGUGCCGGCGAAGACACUUAUCACGCCGUACUAUGUCCAAUCAAGAGAUGCACUGAUGCAUUUGAGGUGAGCCACAAGGAAAGCAGCAAGCACCCAA